GACGAACGCUGGCGGCGUGCCUAAUACAUGCAAGUCGAGCGGACUUUCAAGAAGCUUGCUUUUUGAAAGUUAGCGGCGGACGGGUGAGUAACACGUGGGCAACCUGCCUGUAAGACGAGGAUAACUCCGGGAAACCGGGGCUAAUACCGGAUAAUAUCUUUCUUCGCAUGAAGGAAGGUUGAAAGGCGGCGCAAGCUGCCGCUUGCAGAUGGGCCCGCGGCGCAUUAGCUAGUUGGUGAGGUAACGGCUCACCAAGGCGACGAUGCGUAGCCGACCUGAGAGGGUGAUCGGCCACACUGGGACUGAGACACGGCCCAGACUCCUACGGGAGGCAGCAGUAGGGAAUCUUCCGCAAUGGACGAAAGUCUGACGGAGCAACGCCGCGUGAGCGAAGAAGGUCUUCAGAUCGUAAAGCUCUGUUGUCAGGGAAGAACAAGUACCGUUCGAAUAGGGCGGUACCUUGACGGUACCUGACCAGAAAGCCACGGCUAACUACGUGCCAGCCGCCGCAGUAA
rnacentral:rRNA from 1 species